rfam:Callithrix jacchus chromosome 11, whole genome shotgun sequence
CUUGCAUUGCGUAAACGUUGUCGCCAUUAAAUUCUGCGGGUCUGGGUUCUGCAGACCCCUGUGGCCCCAGGACUUACCCGAAGGGCGCACUUCUUGGGGAUGCGCAUCCCGUAGUCGCAGGAGAAGG